rnacentral:snRNA from 1 species
GCUCACUUCAGUAGCACACGGAUGAAAACUAAAGAGAUGAUUAGCAUGGCCCUGUACAAAGAUGACAAGCAAAUUUGUGAAGCAUCCAUAUCUUUU